UGGGGAAUAUUGGACAAUGGGCGCAAGCCUGAUCCAGCCAUGCCGCGUGAGUGAUGAAGGCCCUAGGGUUGUAAAGCUCUUUCACCGGUGAAGAUAAUGACGGUAACCGGAGAAGAAGCCCCGGCUAACUUCGUGCCAGCAGCCGCGGUAAUACGAAGGGGGCUAGCGUUGUUCGGAUUUACUGGGCGUAAAGCGCACGUAGGCGGACUAUUAAGUCAGGGGUGAAAUCCCGGGGCACAACCCCGGAACUGCCUUUGAUACUGGUAGUCUUGAGUUCGAGAGAGGUGAGUGGAAUUCCGAGUGUAGAGGUGAAAUUCGUAGAUAUUCGGAGGAACACCAGUGGCGAAGGCGGCUCACUGGCUCGAUACUGACGCUGAGGUGCGAAAGCGUGGGGAGCAAACAGG
rnacentral:rRNA from 1 species